rnacentral:rRNA from 1 species
AGUGAACGCUGGCGGUAGGCCUAACACAUGCAAGUCGAACGGCAGCACAGUAAGAGCUUGCUCUUACGGGUGGCGAGUGGCGGACGGGUGAGGAAUACAUCGGAAUCUACUUUUUCGUGGGGGAUAACGUAGGGAAACUACCCUAAAUACGCAUAAGCACUAAGGGUGGAAGCAGGGGGACCUCGGGCCUUUGGCGGUUUGAUGGGCCGAUGUCGGAUUAGCUAGUUGGCGGGGUAAAGGCCCACCCAGGCGACGAUCCGUAGCUGGUCUGAAAGGAUGAUCAGCCACACUGGAACUGAGACACGGUCCAGACUCCUACGGGAGGCAGCAGUGGGGAAUAUUGGACAAUGGGCGCAAGCCUGAUCCAGCCAUACCGCGUGGGUGAAGAAGGCCUUCGGGUUGUAAAGCCCUUUUGUUGGGAAAGAAAAGCAGCAGGUUAAUACCCCGCUGUUCUGACGGUACCCAAAGAAUAAGCACCGGCUAACUUCGUG